UCCGGUUUGUCACCGGCAGUCUGGCGUGAGUCCCCAACUAAAUGCUGGCAACACGCCACGGGGGUUGCGCUCGUUGCGGGACUUAACCCAACAUCUCGCGACACGAGCUGACGACAGCCAUGCACCACCUGUGACGGUCCAGCCGAACUGACCCCGUGUUUCCACGGGUAUGACCGACAUGUCAAACCCAGGUAAGGUUCUUCGCGUUGCGUCGAAUUGAACCACAUGCUCCGCUGCUUGUGCGGGUCCCCGUCAAUUCCUUUGAGUUUCAGCCUUGCGGCCGUACUCCCCAGGCGGGGCACUUAAUGCGUUAGCGCCGGCCCUCAAGGGGUCGCUCCCCCAAGGACCUAGUGCCCAUCGUUUACGGCGUGGACUAC
rnacentral:misc_RNA from 1 species